UUUGGUGGCGAUAGCGAAGAGGUCACACCCGUUCCCAUACCGAACACGGUAGUUAAGCUCUUCAGCGCCGAUGGUAGUCGGGGGCUUCCCC
rnacentral:rRNA from 1 species